rnacentral:rRNA from 1 species
AGAACGAACGCUGGCGGCAUGCCUAAUACAUGCAAGUCGAACGAACACUUCGGUGUUAGUGGCGCACGGGUGCGUAACGCGUGGGAAUCUGCCCUUGGGUUCGGAAUAACAGUUGGAAACGACUGCUAAUACCGGACGAUAUCGAAAGAUCAAAGAUUUAUCGCCCAGGGAUGAGCCCGCGUAGGAUUAGCUAGUUGGUGAGGUAAAGGCUCACCAAGGCGACGAUCCUUAGCUGGUCUGAGAGGAUGAUCAGCCACACUGGGACUGAGACACGGCCCAGACUCC